rnacentral:ncRNA from 1 species
GUGACGGAGCGUGAAAAGAAGUGAUAGCGAAAUCGUAGCCCUACGGAUAGAAAUGUGAUACCAAGGCGCUUUGGACGGGCGAGUUGGCCAAAAGCAACGAACCCAAAAGACAAACGUAACUCCAUGGCGUAAAUCACAAGGGUAGACGAGGAAAGAAC